AGCAUUCUAGCCGAGGUGGCUUUCAUGGUGGCCCAAUGUCAUCUCCUGUGGCUACUCGUGCUUCCCCUGCAGCUACUCGUGCUUCCGCGAGUGUCCCCGUCACUGCCAGCUCCACACCGGAGGUCACCUUAGCUCGCAUCUCCGUCUCCAGUCCAACUUGGUUCAGUCACUGCGACGCCCCAGAAACUAUGCGCAGUCAGAUAGCAGAAGGGGCCCGGAGUCCUCACGGAGGCAAGUCUGUGGAGAAGGCUGAAGAGCCUAGAGAAGGUACUGCUGUGGCUAAGCCUGAGGCCACAACCAUGGCUAUGACUGCUGUUCCCACGCCCACCUCGCCUUCUCUUAGCGCAGGCCACGUAACUAAUCCAUAAAUCGCCACCGGAAGAGCCACCAACACCACUCUGAACCCAGAGACAGCCCUCCAUGUUUGAGCAAACUGUUUCCAAGGGUCCAGCUAAUGGCCCAAGCUACAAUGAAAACCCACCCUGCUGAGUUGUUCAUGGUCUGUGUGUUCACAGAGUACAGGUGGAUAAAAAGCCUACAAGUAAGA
rnacentral:lncRNA from 1 species